CUUGCUUUGGCAGCACACGCUAACAUUGGAAGAACACACAGGUUAGCAUGGCCCCUGCACAAAGAUGACAUACAAUAUCAUGAUCUUCUGAGUCUGAGAUUUUA